GCAGACGGUUGGUAGGCAGACGGUUGGUAGGCAGACGGUUGGUAGGCAGACGGUUGGUAGGCAGACGGUUGGUAGGCAGACGGUUGGUAGGCAGACGGUUGGUAGGCAGACGGUUGGUAGGCAGGCGGUUGGUAGGCAGACGGUUGGUAGGCAGGUUCUACAAUGGUAGGCAGACGGUUGGUAGGCAGGUUCUACAAUGGUAGGCAGACGGUUGGUAGGCAGACGGUUGGUAGGCAGGUUCUACAAUGGUAGGCAGACGGUUGGUAGGCAGGUUCUACAAUGGUAGGCAGACGGUUGGUAGGCAGGUUCUGCAAAAGGCAUCCUGUAACUCAUAUAGCCUCCACAGUCCCCCUUGCGUGACUUUCCCUAGCAACAACAUUUUAAUAAAUCUAUCCUCCCCCUGACAAGUCUCAAGUCCAUAAUAUGCUCUUCACCAAAUAUAAUACCAUUUAAUAUUUUUCACAAGAGUAAUAGUUAGUAUAUUACAUUUCUGCAAAU
ensembl:lncRNA